rnacentral:rRNA from 2 species
UUUGGUGGCGAUAGCGAAGAGGUCACACCCGUUCCCAUACCGAACACGGAAGUUAAGC